rnacentral:misc_RNA from 1 species
AGAGUUCUCGCCCUCGCGGGUAGAUCUCCCACCCUCUGUUAUUGCUACCGUGUUGCUUUGGCGGGCUGCUAGGCCUGGCCUGGCCGCCGGCUCCGGCUGGCGCGCGCCCGCCAGAGGCCCGAUAAAUUCUGAUUGUCAGUGUCGUCUGAGUACUAUAUAAUAGUUA